rnacentral:rRNA from 1 species
GACGAACGCUGGCGGCGUGCUUAACACAUGCAAGUCGAACGGAGUGGCGAACGGGGGAGUGACACGGGGGGGACCAGCCCUGCAAUACGGGAUAAGCAUGGGGAACUGGGUCUAAUACCGGUGAGUGUGGGGUGGGCCCGGGGGCAAUCAGCUUGUUGGUGGGGUAAUGGACUACCAAUGCGGCGACGGGUAGCCGGCCUGGGAGGGUGGACGGCCACAUUGUGACUGCGGCACGGACCAGAAUCCUACGGUAGGCAGCAGUGGGGAAUAUUGCCCAAUGGGCGGAAGCCUGAUGCAGCGACGCUGCGUUGGGGAUGCCGGCCUUCUGGUUGUAAACUCCUUUCUCCAUCGCCGCGGUAGCUGGAGAAGAAGCCCCGGCUAACUACGUGCCAGCCGCCGCGGUAAUAC